rnacentral:rRNA from 1 species
AUUGAACGCUGGCGGCAGGCCUAACACAUGCAAGUCGAGCGGAUGAAGGGAGCUUGCUCCUGGAUUCAGCGGCGGACGGGUGAGUAAUGCCUAGGAAUCUGCCUGGUAGUGGGGGAUAACGUCCGGAAACGGGCGCUAAUACCGCAUACGUCCUGAGGGAGCAAGUGGGGGAUCUUCGGACCUCACGCUCUCAGAUGAGCCUAGGUCGGAUUAGCUAGUUGGUGGGGUAAAGGCCUACCAAGGCGACGAUCCGUAACUGGUCUGAGAGGAUGAUCAGUCACACUGGAACUUGGACAGGGUCCAUACGCCUGCGGGAGGCCGCAGUGGGGAACAUUGGACAAUGGGCGAAAGCCUGAUCCAGCCAUGCCGCGUGUGUGAAGAAGGUCUUCGGAUUGUAAAGCACUUUAAGUUGGGAGGAAGGGCAGUAAGUUAAUACCUUGCUGUUUUGACGUUACCAACAGAAUAAGCACCGGCUAACUUCGUG